GACAUCGCUGGGAGAAAAGAAAGGAGGUUGAACUACCUGGAAAGAAAAGUGAUACAGCGGCCAAGACGGUGCCGAGUCUGAUAUGCUGACUCUAAGGGACUGCAGGUAUUGCAGGUGACAGCAGCUCAGUAGCAAGAGAAAUGAAAAAUAUUCAUCCUUCACCCAUUCUGGUGCAAGCAAAGACCACUGAGGCCACUUGGUAACUGCCUGUCCUCCAGCGAUUGAGGGUCCUGGCUCCAUUUGGACCAGAACAGCCCUCAAGCCAGAGGCGGCACAACACCAAAGACACUGUGAUAAGCACACUACCAGCUGCCCUGCUUGUGCAAGCUUUGGCAGUAUACUUACUGAGACUUUCGGAUGGAACAACAUUUCUAAGAAGUACGGAGGUAUUUGCUGGCCAAGGUCAACAGUGAUGAACCUAAGGUUUGCACUGGGCAAAUGAUGAUCUCUAACUGCUCCAACACAUUACGCCUAUAUUUAAUGUGAUGAUCACUGUAGAGUUAGUGAAUGCUAGAAAGUUCUGUUUUUGACUGGCUAAAAAAUGUGUGGAUAUGUUUUGCAUCACAUUCAGUACUCUAAGAAAAGAAAAGCAAAUCAAAUCCAAUACAUUUCAUGCAUUCAGUUUGACCCUCUUUUUCUGUUUGUUUACUACUGGUGGAAUAAUUGUCUUUUUAU